GGAAGAUGGGAGCUUGCUCCCUGAUGUUAGCGGCGGACGGGUGAGUAACACGUGGGUAACCUGCCUGUAAGACUGGGAUAACUCCGGGAAACCGGGGCUAAUACCGGAUGCUUGUUUGAACCGCAUGGUUCAAACAUAAAAGGUGGCUUCGGCUACCACUUACAGAUGGACCCGCGGCGCAUUAGCUAGUUGGUGAGGUAAUGGCUCACCAAGGCAACGAUGCGUAGCCGACCUGAGAGGGUGAUCGGCCACACUGGGACUGAGACACGGCCCAGACUCCUACGGGAGGCAGCAGUAGGGAAUCUUCCGCAAUGGACGAAAGUCUGACGGAGCAACGCCGCGUGAGUGAUGAAGGUUUUCGGAUCGUAAAGCUCUGUUGUUAGGGAAGAACAAGUGCCGUUCAAAUAGGGCGGCACCUUGACGGUACCUAACCAGAAAGCCACGGCUAACUACGUGCCAGCAGCCGCGGUAAUACGUAGGUGGCAAGCGUUGUCCGGAAUUAUUGGGCGUAAAGGGCUCGCAGGCGGUUUCUUAAGUCUGAUGUGAAAGCCCCCGGCUCAACCGGGGAGGGUCAUUGGAAACUGGGGAACUUGAGUGCAGAA
rnacentral:rRNA from 1 species